rnacentral:lncRNA from 1 species
GUUACAAUAUCCCCAACUCAAUUAGCUUGACGUCCUCGUCAAGGCCCAACAUAUCCCAGAUCGAACCCUAGCAUAGUGCAUGUGAGGUUUAACUCGGUUGCUCCACGCCGUGAUGAGUUCUCAACUCCAUCCACGGGUAGCCCUUUCCUACUCGAGCCCUCUCACCCUGCCCAAAUGCUAGGUCGACUCUGAUACCAAAUGUUACGACCCGAGUCUAAUGAGCCAACUGGCCAAUAACUCCAUUUUGGUCCUUGAACCACGAACCAAAAUGCUUAAGCGGGAGUUAAC